CCACUCCUCCAGCCGCGGCUGCUGGCCGUGCAGUGCAGGCCGCACUGCUGCAGGGAGCACGGCUUGGGGGGCCGGGGACGGCUCUCCUAGGCAGGGUGGCAGGGGGUUCCACGGCAGGCCGGGUCCAGCAGGGCUCGCUUGCAGAGAUGCCGGGGCUUGCCCCGAGCGGGGCUGUUCUCCCGUCCACUGGGCAGGCUGGGAGCCCGGAGCCAAGCCCGCGGUCACGCUCCCUCCCGCUGGCGCCCAGCACCAUGGCCGCACGUCCCCCCAAACUUUGCCUCGGGCUGGGCACAGAGGCGCAGCUGGUUCCCAGCCCGCCGCCCGCGCCCUGAGUCCCACGACCCCGCCGCGCCUGGUCCUUUUAUUCAGAGGGCCAUCUCAAAACGUGGCCCCUGCAUCCACUACACUUCUCUCAAUUCCAGUAUGGAACAGUGGAAGUUACAGGCACAUUCCUACUGAAUUCAGGUGUGGACUGAACUGGACCUAUGCUUAAGAUGUACCAGCUGAAAAAUCAGAUAACAACCAGAUCAAUGAAUCAAUAGAUGGUAUUUUCUUCUUGUACCUACUCUGCAUUAAGCAUAAGAGAAACCUGCCUUGCAGUGAGCGGAGUUCACCAAAGGUUGUGAUAAUGAACACACAAAUAUGAAAUACAGAGCACCUAGGAAUUCUCAGAGGUUUUGUUCCAUUUCACCAUUUUUAUUGUUGUGUGUGUGUUGUGAGCAUGUGCAAUUAAAAGAACAUUUACAAUGUUCAUGCACAAGGACAAUUCAUUUCUAAGAAUACAGUAAUCAUGGGUGCACAGGUUAAUCUAAAGAUAACUCACUGCUUUCUUUUGGUUAUAUUCUGGUCAACUUAAAACCCUCUACAAUGGAUGUUAAGGGCCUGAUCCCCAGCUGGUAUAAAUCAGUGUAGCUUCACUGAAUUCAGCAGAGCUAUCCUGAUUUACACCAUUUGAGGACUAAUUGAGGCCCUAAAGUUUUGUGGGUUUUCAUCAAUGAGCUAAAUUGUACUCUCGGUUAUACCAUUGCAGCUGCACUGACUUCAGUGGGGAGACAUCAGCAUAAAUGAAAGCAGAAUUGUCCAAAUUCUAUUCUGCUGGCUAUAUUUUGAUUAUUCCAGUGUAACUCAUAAUAGCUCCUUUGAUGUUGAUGGUACUUCUCUGGAUUUACACCAGUGCAAAUGACAGCAAAAUUAAUUCAGUGUGUUCUCAUCAUUUGCUGUCUGAAGAUCAUAGUAGCUUAUCCUACACUGGACUAUAGUAAGUGACUUCUUGUGCAAUGGAAUUAAUUGCUAAAAGGAUGCUGAAGAGAAGUGUGUUCAGAAAGCUUUCCCCACAAAUGUACUUUAGAAACAUGCGUGAGUGCACAUGUGGGGGAAGGGUAUUUUUAGCGGGGUAGAUAUUUUUGUAUAUAACAAUAUUUAAGGAAUGACCUCAGAGAAAAGUGAAUCUUCUCUAUCAAUUGUCUAAAUAAUGAGCUAGCUAAAUAAUGAUCUUUCCCUUUUGACUGCUAUCACAAACACUGAAAAGAAGAGGGCCAGUCUAUUGCCUUUUGGGCCCUCUACAGAAAAUAUUUUAUUGUAUAGGCCUGGACUUAUACAAUACUGGGACCUAAUGACUGCAUUGGUGAAUUUAAUUACAACUAUCAUUUAGAGUGUUAGACAUGAAAAGCUGUGUGUGUAUAUAUAUAUACACUGCCCCUUCCUAUAUAAGCUACCUUGUUGAUGAAUACCUUGUACUCUUUGUACCUGUCUCUCCUGCGUUUGGAGUUGCAGCAAUUAUAUCUCCAAGAACUGCAGUGCUGAUAUGGCUUCAGGAACGGCAGUGAUAAGGGUGGUAUUCCUCCUCUGGAAAAGGCUGUAUGGGCAGAUUACUGCAAAUCUGAACAUAUAGUGGAGCUGACAGAAAUGUAAGAUAGAUAAGAUGGCUGAGGAGUGGUUGGUCAUUCAAAGGACACUCUGCUGUUGGUUUCCCUCACGUUACUUAGAAUGCUAGUGUUAUACUAUUGGCUAGUAGUGUGGCAUAGCAGCGGCUAGUCUCAUUUCCCUUCUCUGGAAGUGGUUUAAAAAAGAGUUUUCUCCCUUCCAGUUUUUAACCAGUGCAUGAGUCUGCUCCAUGACUGAUAGAGAUUCACAGAUGUAGUGGUGCUGGUGUAGAGAGCAGGAUUUGUGGAACUUGUAGAAGACAUACAAAUUCACUAUGGAGCCCAGUUUCAUGGGGAGUCCCUAGCUGUAAUGUUCAAUGGGCAUUUGGGUUGGGCAGACUGGGAGGAAUAGUGGUGGUGGGACUGGAUGGAGAAGCUGGGACAGGACCAGCAAAUUUGAAGCUAUAUAGAUUACCCAUUACCCCAGGCCUGCAAUAUCAGCUACAGAGCUGUCUGGCGGGAGCAUUCCAACCCCUCUUCCCCCACCCACAGAAAAAAUUUGUACGUGGCCCAGCCACUCAGCUGGUGUGCCAAGUACAGAAUUUGGGUCCAAACACAUUUAAUAGAAGGAUCCAAAUCUUAAAAAAAUCCUAAAACCUUGUAAUCUUAAUGGAUUUACACUAGUUUGCCUGCAACACAGUACAUGUUUUCUCCAUUAAAGAAGAAGAAUUCUUCAUAAGCCUGAGACGAUACCUACUUACUCUGCCCACUGUAGCCUGCUUCUCUGUCAGUGCUUUCCUGCACAAUAUAAUCUCACUAUGGAAAAUGUGAAAGAUACGCAAAACCUGUGGCUAGCCUGAGACACGCAGAAACACUCUGACCUGGAUCUAGGAGUAAUGCUUAGCUCAAGCAGGUGGCUCCAGAUCAUUACAACACCAUGUUUUGAUGCUUCAGUGGCUUUAGUAACAAUAAAAUCCCAUCAGGGUCUAUAUUAAUAGGCA
rnacentral:lncRNA from 1 species